rnacentral:rRNA from 1 species
GAUGAACGCUGGCGGCGUGCCUAAUACAUGCCAGUCGAGCGAACAGACGAGGAGCUUGCUCCUCUGACGUUAGCGGCGGACGGGUGAGUAACACGUGGAUAACCUACCUAUAAGACUGGGAUAACUUCGGGAAACCGGAGCUAAUACCGGAUAAUAUAUUGAACCGCAUGGUUCAAUAGUGAAAGACGGUUUUGCUGUCACUUAUAGAUGGAUCCGCGCCGCAUUAGCUAGUUGGUAAGGUAACGGCUUACCAAGGCAACGAUGCGUAGCCGACCUGAGAGGGUGAUCGGCCACACGGGAACUGAGACACGGUCCAGACUCCUACGGGAGGCAGCAGUAGGGAAUCUUCCGCAAUGGGCGAAAGCUUGACGGAGCAACGCCGCGUGAGUGAUGAAGGUCUUCGGAUCGUAAAACUCUGUUAUUAGGGAAGAACAAAUGUGUAAGUAACUAUGCACGUCUUGACGGUACCUAAUCAGAAAGCCACGGCUAACUACGUG